rnacentral:rRNA from 1 species
GACGAACGCUGGCGGCGUGCUUAACACAUGCAAGUCGAACGGAAGGGCCCUGCUUUUGUGGGGUGCUCGAGUGGCGAACGGGUGAGUAACCCGUGAGUAACCUGCCCUUGACCUUGGGAUAACUUCAGGAAACUGGGGCUAAUACCGGCUAGGAGCUCCUGCUGCAUGGUGGGGGUUGGAAAGUUUCGGCGGUUGGGGAUGGACUCGCGGCGUAUCAGCUUGUUGAUGGGGUAGUGGCUUACCAAGGCUUUGACAGGUAGCAGGCCUGGGAGGAUGACCGGCCACAUUGGGACGGAGAUACGGCCCAGACUCCUACGGGAGGCAGCAGUGGGGAAUAGUGCACUAGGGGCGGAAGCCUGAUGCAGCAACGCCGCGUGCGGGAUGACGGCCUUCGGGUUGUAUACCGAUGUCGCCUGUGACGAAGCGUGAGUGACGGUAAUGGGUAAAGAAGCACCGGCUAACUACGUG